AGGCUUUGUUCUUUUGCUCUUUGCAGUAAAUGUUGCUGCUGCUGACUGUUGGGUCCCAGCCGUCUUUAAAAGCUAUUACACUCACGGUGAAGGUCUGUGGUUUCACUCCUGAAAUCAAGCGAGUGUACGAACCCACCGGAAGGAAGAAACUCCAGACUCCGAAGGAACAAACUCUGGACACACCAAAUGUAAGAAUUGUAACACUCACCGCGACGGUCCGUGGCGUCCACCCUCGCAGCUUCUUUCUUGAAGUCGCCGAGACCAAGAGCGCACCGAAAGGAACCAAUUGUGGACACAUCCGUUUUAGUGGAAUAAUAGUCCUUGGUUCUCUGGACAACCGGGAGAAUUGCAUUUUCUGAGGCCCACGAUAAGCACCCAACCGUUAAUAUUUCCAUGCUUCUCUGUCCAUCCCAUGGAGCCUGGGGCUUGAGGGACUGUGCAGUGAGGCAGCAACUCACAUCUCCAGCUGUUGGACUGGUCCUGCCAGCGACGUCUGCUCAGUAGAACAAGCAGCACUUCCCCCAGCUCAGCACUGUCUCAUUUCUGAGACUGAACACCCCGUGGUCACUCUACAUGGAUGGGUUAAUUUCCCUUGGAAAAGUAUUGAUGAUCAAGUGAUGCUAGCAGCAACAGUGUUAAAGGCUUUAACGCUUUUAAAGGGUGACACAGGCUUAAACUGAGACAAUCCAGCAUGGAACACUUGCAGGAAGUACUAGGAAAGUGCAUUUUCUUUCCAUGAGGGUUGCCAAACUGGAAGCAUGUUAGCUAAAGCUACCUGUAGUCAUUUUGUGGCCACAUUGGGUGAGAUUGUCUGAGAAAGCAAACCAACUGAAGCAGAGCAGAGAAGAUACUCUACCAACCUAGUUGGAGCCCUGGUUCCAGCCUUGCCUGAAGCUAAAUGCACCUCUAUGCUUCCUUUUUACUGACCCAAUAAAUUUCCCUAUUUGUUUAAA
rnacentral:lncRNA from 1 species